rnacentral:rRNA from 1 species
CGGAGCGAAAGCGACGUUCAACCGCAAAAGAAGCAGAGGGGGCUUAGUGGUGGGGUGACUGCGUACCUUUUGUAUAAUGGGUCAGCGACUUAUAUUCUGUAGCAAGGUUAACCGAAUAGGGGAGCCGGAGGGAAACCGAGUCUUAACCGGGCGUUAAGUUGCAGGGUAUAGACCCGAAACCCGGUGAUCUAGCCAUGGGCAGGUUGAAGGUUGGGUAACACUAACUGGAGGACCGAACCGACUAAUGUUGAAAAAUUAGCGGAUGACCUGUGGCUGGGGGUGAAAGGCCAAUCAAACCGGGAGAUAGCUGGUUCUCCCCGAAAGCUAUUUAGGUAGCGCCUCGUGAAUUCAUCUCCGGGGGUAGAGCACUGUUUCGGCUAGGGGGCCAUCCCGGCUUACCAACCCGAUGCAAACUGCGAAUACCGGAGAAUGUUAUCACGGGAGACACACGGCGGGUGCUAACGUCCGUCGUGAAGAGGGAAACAACCCAGACCGCCAGCUAAGGUCCCAAAGUCAUGGUUAAGUGGGAAACGAUGUGGGAAGGCCCAGACAGCCAGGAUGUUGGCUUAGAAGCAGCCAUCAUUUAAAGAAAGCGUAAUAGCUCACUGGUCGAGUCGGCCUGCGCGGAAGAUGUAACGGGGCUAAACCAUGCACCGAAGCUGCGGCAGCGAACGUAUCACUUAAAGCGAUUCAGCGGGUUACGAUUGACGGAGCGAAGCGACGUCAAAGCGUAU